AGCAGCCGCGGUAAUUCCAGCUCCAAUAGCGUAUAUUAAAGUUGUUGCAGUUAAAAAGCUCGUAGUUGAAUUUCGGGAUCAGUACGCUGGUCGUGCCUUCGGUAUGCACUGGUGUCACUGAUUCCUCCCUUCUGAAGAACCGUAAUGCCAUUCAGUUGGUGUUGCGGGGAAUCAGGACUGUUACUUUGAAAAAUUAGAGUGUUUAAAGCAGGCUUGCGCUUGAAUACAUUAGCAUGGAAUAAUGAAAUAGGACG
rnacentral:rRNA from 1 species